GACGAACGCUGGCGGCGUGCCUAAUACAUGCAAGUAGAACGCUGAAGGAGGAGCUUGCUCUUCUGGAUGAGUUGCGAACGGGUGAGUAACGCGUAGGUAACCUGCCUGGUAGCGGGGGAUAACUAUUGGAAACGAUAGCUAAUACCGCAUAACAGUAGAUGUUGCAUGACAUUUACUUAAAAGGUGCAAUUGCAUCACUACCAGAUGGACCUGCGUUGUAUUAGCUAGUUGGUGGGGUAACGGCUCACCAAGGCGACGAUACAUAGCCGACCUGAGAGGGGGGUCGGCCACACUGGGACUGAGACACGGCCCAGACUCCUUCGGGAGGCAGCAGUAGGGAAUCUUCGGCAAUGGACGGAAGUCUGACCGAGCAACGCCGCGUGAGUACAGAAGGUUUUCGGAUCGUAAAGCUCUGUUGUAAGAGAAGAACGAGUGUGAGAGUGGAAAGUUCACACUGUGACGGUAUCUUACCAGAAAGGGACGGCUAACUACGUG
rnacentral:rRNA from 1 species